GACGAACGCUGGCGGCGUGCUUAACACAUGCAAGUCGAACGGAAAGGCCCUGCUUUUGUGGGGUGCUCGAGUGGCGAACGGGUGAGUAACACGUGAGUAACCUGCCCUUGACUUUGGGAUAACUUCAGGAAACUGGGGCUAAUACCGGAUAGGAGCUCCUGCUGCAUGGUGGGGGUUGGAAAGUUUCGGCGGUUGGGGAUGGACUCGCGGCUUAUCAGCUUGUUGGUGGGGUAGUGGCUUACCAAGGCUUUGACGGGUAGCCGGCCUGAGAGGGUGACCGGCCACAUUGGGACUGAGAUACGGCCCAGACUCCUACGGGAGGCAGCAGUGGGGAAUAUUGCACAAUGGGCGGAAGCCUGAUGCAGCAACGCCGCGUGCGGGAUGACGGCCUUCGGGUUGUAACCCGCUUUCGCCUGUGACGAAGCGUGAGUGACGGUAAUGGGCAAAGAAGCACCGGCUAACUACGUG
rnacentral:rRNA from 1 species